UCGGGAAUUUUGGGCAAUGGGCGAAAGCCUGACCCAGCAACGCCGCGUGAAGGAUGAAGUAUUUCGGUAUGUAAACUUCGAAAGAAUAGGAAGAAUAAAUGACGGUACUAUUUAUAAGGUCCGGCUAACUACGUGCCAGCAGCCGCGGUAAUACGUAGGGUGCAGGCGUUAAUCGGAAUUACUGGGCGUAAAGCGUGCGCAGGCGGCUCCUUAAGUCAGAUGUGAAAUCCCCGGGCUUAACCUGGGAACUGCGUUUGAAACUGAGGGGCUAGAGUGUGGAAGAGGGGGGUGGAAUUCCAGGUGUAGCAGUGAAAUGCGUAGAGAUCUGGAGGAACACCGAUGGCGAAGGCAGCCCCCUGGGCUAACACUGACGCUCAUGCACGAAAGCGUGGGGAGCAAACAGGAUUAGAUACCCCCGUAGUCCCUGAGCGGGCUGGCAAGGCGCAU
rnacentral:rRNA from 1 species